AACAGAUGACAUUUUCUAUGUUCACAUUGACCUUUACACGUAAAUGAUCUCCACUUGUCAUUGAUACAUUAACGUGUUACUUAUGUUUUUUCAGAUUUGACUUAAAAACAUGUUGCAAACGAUGUGAACCUCUUUAGUUUUUUUUCUUCAAUAAACUUGUUUAAGUCUAUAACAUUUUUAUAAAAUAUAAUUUACAGUACAAAAUAUGAACUGAUGCUGUUGUAACAGAUGAAGAGGGCAUAGUCACAGACAUCUCAUUGAAUGCUGGACUAUACUAAGUGCUACAAGUUAAUCCUCUCAUUCCACUUCACAUACAGAACCCUUGACCCUGUUUUUUUUCCUCUCCUCUGUCACCAGGUGCUGCUCAUGAGGGAGAUGCUGCUCUCUGCAGGUGAAGUAAUCAAGGACUUUGGAUUAGACCUGCUCAAUCUGCGAGUUCGGCCUCUUUUCGAGCAGGCUGCUGAUGAUGGAUCGGAUCCUCUUUGACAAUGGAUUGUCCAGUUCUGGCAGUGCACACUGAAAAACACAAAAAUAGGAACACGUUACAAUACUAAUAAACAUCAUGGAUGGAAAACAAAAA